UGUUUAUCUGGGUCUGGUUCACAUCACUUAAUACGAUUUUUUCCAAGUCUUUCCAUUUCUUUAUGAAUGGGGAAAUGCCAUUCUGUCUGAUGGAAGCAUAGAAUUCCAUUGUGUGUGUAUAACACAUUUUCUUGCUCCAUUUUCUAC